UCCCCUAUGUGUGAUGCAUGGUGUC
rnacentral:piRNA from 1 species